AUUGAACGCUGGCGGCAGGCUUAACACAUGCAAGUCGAGCGGGGGAAGGUAGCUUGCUACCGGACCUAGCGGCGGACGGGUGAGUAAUGCUUAGGAAUCUGCCUAUUAGUGGGGGACAACAUCUCGAAAGGGAUGCUAAUACCGCAUACGUCCUACGGGAGAAAGCAGGGGAUCUUCGGACCUUGCGCUAAUAGAUGAGCCUAAGUCGGAUGAGCUAGUUGGUGGGGUAAAGGCCUACCAAGGCGACGAUCUGUAGCGGGUCUGAGAGGAUGGUCCGCCAAACUGGGACUGAGCAGCGGCCCAGACUUCUACGGGAGGCAGCAGUGGGGAAUAUUGGACAAUGGGGGGAACCCUGAUCCAGCCAUGCCGCGUGUGUGAAGAAGGCCUUAUGGUUGUAAAGCACUUUAAGCGAGGAGGAGGCUACUUUAGUUAAUACCUAGAGAUAGUGGACGUUACUCGCAGAAUAAGCACCGGCUAACUCUGUGCCAGCAGCCGCCGUAA
rnacentral:rRNA from 1 species